ensembl:lncRNA
CGGCAUAGAGCGGUGGAGCUAUUAGCUCCGCGCUGCAGACAUCAUUAGGAGUGGAGGGAGACAAUUCCACCGUCAGCGCAGGAACAGGAAGCCCUGGCAACAAGGAGAACACCGCUCUUACCAGACCAUUACACCGUACAAGCCCCAUGUCCUGGGUAGAGAGCCCAGCCCCAGAGGUAGCUAUGUCCUGGGGAGAGAGCCCAGCCCCGGAGGUAGCUAUGUCCUGGGGAGAGAGCCCAGCCCCGGAGGUAGCCAUGUCCUGGAGAGAGAGCCCAGCCCCGGAGGUAGCCAUGUCCUGGGGAGAGAGCCCAGCCCCGGAGCUAGCUAUGUCCUGGGGAGAGAGCCCAGCCCUGGAGGUAGCUAUGUCCUGGGGAGAGAGCCCAGCCCCGGAGGUAACCAUGUCCUUGGGAGGUAGCUAUGUCCUGGGGAGAGAGCCCAACCCCUGAGGUAACCAUGUCCUUGGGAGGUAGCUAUGUCCUGGGGAGGUAGCUAUGUCGUUGGGAGGUAGCUAUGUCCUGGGGAGGUAGCUAUGUCCUGGGGAGGUAGCUAUGUCCUGGGGAGAGAGCCCAACCCCGGAGGUAACCAUGUCCUUGGGAGGUAGCUAUGUCCUGGGGAGGUAGCUAUGUCCUGGGGAGGGAGCUAUAUCCUGGGGAGGUACUGUAGCUAUGUCCUGGGGAGGUAGCUAUGUCCUGGGGAGGUAGCUAUGUCCUGGGGAGCCCAGCCCCAGGAGAGAAGAGGGGGGGCAACAGAGAGAGAGAGAAACAGAGAGAGAAAAAGGGAGAGUAAGAUGGAAAGAAACCACCUAAAAGGAAGCGAUUCCCAACUCUUCCAUAUCAAAGCCAUCACCUAAAGAGAGAUGAACCUGGAGAAGAGCCCCCUAAGCAAGCUGGUCCUGGGGCUCUGUUCACAAACACAAACAGACACCACAGAGCCCCAGGACAGCAGCACAAUUAGACCUAACCAAAUCAUGAGACAACAAAAAGAUAAUUACUUGACACAUUGGAAAGAAUUAACAAAAAACAGAGCAAACUAGAAUGUUAUUUGGUCCUAAA